rnacentral:rRNA from 1 species
GACAGAGGAUGCAAGCGUUAUCCGGAAUGAUUGGGCGUAAAGCGUCUGUAGGUGGCUUUUCAAGUCCGCCGUCAAAUCCCAGGGCUCAACCCUGGACAGGCGGUGGAAACUGCCAAGCUGGAGUACGGUAGGGGCAGAGGGAAUUUCCGGUGGAGCGGUGAAAUGCGUAGAUAUUGGGAGGAACACCAGUGGCGAAGGCGGCUCACUGGACCGGAACUGACGCUGAGGCGCGAAAGCGUGGGGAGCAAACGGG